UCUUUUGAAGAGUUCUGAAUUCGUAAAACCUUCCCAGGCUCUUGGUUUGGAAUAAGAGAGAAAUCCUGCCAAAACACAAAGCAACGUUUGAUGGAGCAGAUGUAAACAUCACAGUGUAAUCCACACACUUUACACGAUUAGUUAAUUGCAGCAGCUGUAAACCAGGCGCGCAGAUGGCACUAGGGACGGGGGGGACAUGACCCCCCCAAAUUCAUAGUGACCCGAUCCGUCCCCCGCCCUCACUAUCGCUACGAAAGGCGACAAAAAUCGGUAAAACAGAGGAUUAACCAGUGUUUGCACUCUCUCUGAGUGACGCCGCCGGGGCGCGAAUCUUUUUUUCCCAGGAUGGUAUGGGAAGGUCCCGCCUUUUUCGCCUCUGAUUGGCUAGAAGGGUCUCCUCCUAUUGGGUAGGUUUAGGGGUCGAGUUAGUGUAGCCAAUCGGAGAGAGCCCUUCUAGCCAAUCAGAGGCGAUAAAGGCGGGACCUCGUGCCUGUAUGAGCGGUAACCAUAGUGAUCAUAUACAAUUUAUGACUGAGCUGAGUCGGUGAUUUUCUGAACUGAAAAAAAUCGACUGCAAGUGCCACAUAAAGGCAAUGAAGAGACAAAAAACAAUCACCUCGUUUUUUCAAAAAACAAUCAAUGAAGUUCAUCACGACCACUGAUGAAGAGUUUGUAACCAUAAAGAUCCUCCAGCAUCGCAGGAAGGAAAUCCAAUGCAAAUGUCACUGCAGAAGUUGAGCUGUGCUGAUCACCAUGGAGGGGCAUGUUUUAUUCUCAACGGAGACGUCAAAUUUUGUUUCCCAGGUUUCAUUGCCUUUUCUGCCACAUAGAACAACAGAUGAAAGACCGGCAAUGAGGGAAUACUGAACACAAAACAUACAACACAAAGGUGCUUUUCGUAACAUUUUUCUUGAAGCCUUUAUGUUUAUAAAGGUAUUCAUGUAAGUUGUAAUGCAUUCUAUAUUUCCAUAAAUAAUUGUAACCAAAGAUGAAAUUCAUUAAAAUAUUUGAGGAGUUCUUGUUACAUGUUUUAAUGCAUUAUAUUUUCUGAAAGUGAAGUAAUGAAUAGAUAAGUAUUAUAACUGUGGUUACAACUAGCAAUGAGAUCAUGCAAUGUAUUAUAACUACAAUGCAAAACUAAUGCAUUAAAAAUAAUUUUAUAGUGCAUUACAUAUAAAGGACAGUGUUACCGUGAUUUUAAUUUAUGUUUGCAUCCUUAUGCUCUACACCUCAUUUUGCAUAUUUUGAUCUGAAGUAGCUUGCAUUUCACAACAUUUUUUCACAAUAAGUAUCUAAAAAUUAUCCAAAGUAUUUCAGUAAGAUUUCAGAAAUUAAAUUUCCUUUAGAAAUAAAGCAUCAUUGUACAAUGAAUUAUACUGAAGCUUUAGAACUUCAAUCCUAGUGAAAACUAAACUGCAUAAACAGCUUGUUCUCUAGGCAUGUAACGGUACAUGUAUUUUCGGUAUGGGUAUUUCGGUUCGGUACACGUGUCUACACACUAUUACACAUCGCAAUAGUAUUAAAGUAAUGUAAAAGGGCUCCCUAUAGUUUAGAUCAGACGCUGAGGUAGUUCCCUAUCGAAAGGUAACGCCCCGUUGGGGAAACUCCUGUUUACUCUGUUACUGAAGCCAGAUUGGUUAACGUUUGUGUAACUGCACAAACCAAUUGCGCUUGAGCCCGCCAAAGGAGCGCCACUUGUGGCUGAACCUAACGGACAUCAGGGACGCUGAGAAAAUUACCUUCCUCGAUUCCCUGGUUUCGCCCCAAAGGACUCUUCGGUCCAGCUGUGGACGGCUUUACGGAGCGCUUCACCAAGGCACAGAAGACGUCGCAAGCGCUGCGUCACUUCCUGCCUAAGCGCUCCAGCCCGGCGACUGUUUCAACCCGCCCCAAGCCAGCGUCCACUCAGCAGCCUGCUAAACCAGCGCAGCCUCAGCUCUCGCAAAAGCCAGAGCCAGGGCUUCAGCAGUGCCCCAGAUCGGCAAAGAGGUACCCCUUCCCCAAGCGUCAGGGCCCACGCCCUCGCGUAACGCUGGAUCCUGGGCCUCAGAAGCCAUCCUGAUCUGCGUGCGGAGAGGAAGAGGAGAGGGAUAAUUCUCGUGGACGCCAGAAUCCCCUCAAAGACAGCUCGCAGUUAUUCCUCAACCCUUUGAGUGCCUCUGAGUGGUGGAGGUGUUUUAACAGUGCACAUCUUGUCAUUUCAGUGUGUGCCCCAAACUACCGCUGUGAUUGCGGACCCACAUACAAUAAAGAGCAAAUUACCUCUCCCUACACUCACACAUGUCAGUUCUCCCCCUGUUGGUGGCGAACUGUCAUCAGUAAAGCCUCUCGUACAUGUCUGCUCUCU